rnacentral:lncRNA from 1 species
ACACUCCAGGGAACUCACAUGGGGGCUGGGCAGGGGGACCUAAGAGAUAGAUAAUCGGCACAUAUCGCUUCUCGGCCUUUUGGCUAAGAUCAAGUGAUAAUCAGCAAUGCACUGAGAAGGAGAGCAACAUUUAAGCGUACUCAUUCUGCUGCUAUGAGCGAGGAGACUGGGCCCAAAGGAACAAGAAUGGACACAGGAAAGGUCAGCUGAGGUUAUGGCAGGUAUCCAGGUGCAUGAAGAUGGUGGCUUGGACCAGGUGGCCAUGGUGGAGAGAACAGGAAAUGAUCAUCCUUAAUAUGAAUUAGGAUGAGUGUGAUUAAUAGAGGAAGAAUCAACACUUUCAGAGAUGGAGCCUGUUGAGCCACAGUACCAACUAGUCAAUGCUGAAUCGACUUCUCCCUUUCUACAUUGCCUGAGAGAAGUCAUUGGGGAAUACUCUGUACACGAAUUUUCACUGUUGGGGAAAACAGAGAGUCAAGGGAUUGGAUUGUGGAUUGCAUUGGUGGUUUUCCUCAGUUUCCUCAUCUUCUCCACAAGUUUCUACAUAUCGAAUGCAGAGCAGCCCUUCUUCAAAGGACCUCCUACGGAAGCUGCUAAGGAACUCAGUCUGUAGCUCUGCGUGGAGCCAUGUGUAAACACUGAACUGAGACCUGCCACCUCCUACUACCUAAGGGCCCAUUUUCAUCUGAUAUCAUCCCCCAGAAACAAACUCAUGAUGACUUCCAUGUUUUUUUUAGAUUAGAUACAUGGAGAAUUUUCCUUUCCCUUAGAAUUAAAAUCCUGCAUUCUAA